rnacentral:rRNA from 1 species
AGCGAACGCUGGCGGCAGGCCUAACACAUGCAAGUCGAACGAACCCUUCGGGGUUAGUGGCGGACGGGUGAGUAACGCGUGGGAACGUGCCUUUAGGUUCGGAAUAACUCAGGGAAACUUGUGCUAAUACCGAAUGUGCCCUUCGGGGGCAAGAUUUAUCGCCUUUAGAGCGGCCCGCGUCUGAUUAGCUAGUUGGUGAGGUAAUGGCUCACCAAGGCUACGAUCAGUAGCUGGUCUGAGAGGAUGACCAGCCACAUUGGGACUGAGACACGGCCCAAACUCCUACGGGAGGCAGCAGUGGGGAAUCUUGCGCAAUGGGCGAAAGCCUGACGCAGCCAUGCCGCGUGGAUGAUGAAGGUCUUAGGAUUUAAAAUCCUUUCACCGGUGAAGAUAAUGACUGUAGCCGGAGAAGAAGCCCCGGCUAACUUCGUGCCAGCCGCCGCUGUAAAAC